rnacentral:rRNA from 1 species
AUACGAACCGGACAAACGUUAUUCGGAAUCAUUGGGCUUAAAGGGUGCGUAGGCGGCGUAGUAAGUGAGGUGUGAAAGCCCUCGGCUCAACCGAGGAAUUGCGCUUCAUACUGCUAUGCUCGAGGGAGACAGGGGUAAGCGGAACUGAUGGUGGAGCGGUGAAAUGCGUUGAUAUCAUCAGGAACACCAGUGGCGAAAGCGGCUUACUGGGUCUCUUCUGACGCUGAGGCACGAAAGCUAGGGUAGCGAACGGGAUUAGAAACCCCUGUAGUCC